CCCCCCCUCUGCCCCUCACAGAUCGUUCCUCACCUCGAGGAAUGGGUCACAGACACCCCCUCUCCCCCUCACAGAUCCUUCCUCACAUCGAGGGGUGGAUCACAGACACCCCAUUUCCCCUUCAUGGAUCGUUCCUCACAUCGGGGAGUGGGUCACAGGCACCCCAUCUCCUCCUCACAGAUCUUCCUCACAUCGGGGGGUGGGUCAGAGGCACCCCUAUCCCUCAUAGAUUUUUCUCCUCACCUCGUGGGGGGGGGGGGCACAGACAGCCCCUCUCCCCCUCACAGACCCUUCUUCACAUCGGGGGGUGGGUCACAGGCACCCCCAUCCCUCAUGGAUCCCCUCCUCAUUUCGGGGAGUGGGUCACAGGCACCCCCACUCAUAGAUCUCCUCCGUACCUCGAGGGGUGGGUCACAGACCCUUCCUCACCUGCGGGGAGGGUCACAGAUAUCCCCUCUCCCCCUCACAGACCCCUCCUCAUUUUGCGGUUUGGGUCACAGACGCCCCCAUCAGUGAGGGGAGAGGGUCACAGAAACUCCCCCGUCCCUCACAGACCCCUCCUCAUUUUGGGGAGUGGGUCACAAACACUCCCCCUCUCAUAGAUCUGCUCCUCGCUUCAGGGAGGGUUGUGAGAAAGAUCUAAUUUAUUUCCUUAUUCCUCACAAAGUGGGUCACAGACACCCCCCCCCCUCCCUCAGAGACCCCUCCUCACCUCGCGGGGCACAAAUUGCCCCUCUCAGCCCGUAUCGGGGGGUUUUUGGGGGGUCUGGAGACACCCCCGGUAAGGCGGGAGGGGAUGAGGGUUAACCCUGAGAGAAAGGGGGGAUAUUCCGGAGCCCCCCGCGCUUAAAGCCGCUUCCUCGCGCUUUUUCUUUCAUCGAUAGCCUUUUAAACGCUUAAUUCCCUGUUAAUUAUCGUCGUUUGGCGGUUGUUUAAUUGUGAAUUUCUCGUUAAGUGGCGGGGGGGGCUGUGAUUUGAUGCCUCCCCGUUUCCGCCACGCCUCGAGCUUGUUCCCUAAUUCUCAUUUCUUCUUUUUCUUUCAAUAUUCCUUGAAUAUUUCCCUAACUUGGCGUUUCUCGCCGGUUCUUUUAAGCCCGAACCGUCCGUUUCGCCUUUCAUUUGUAUGGGUUUUUUUGUUUUUAAUGGCUAAAACCCUCGCGGGCGGCGCCGAACAAAGCGCCGCGCCCCGGGAUGCUCCGCGCCCUCACCGGGAAGCGUGGGGAUAACCCCCCAAACCCGCGAUUUUAAUACCAGAACAAAACCUUAAUUUUUUUGAGGGGAUUCGGGGUGUUUUGAGGGAUUUUAUCACCCUUUUUUUUUUUUUUGAAGGGUUUAACGGGGCUCUUCCCCCCCCCCCCCCCCCCCCGGCCGCCAUUUUGUGGUUUUGCCGCUGCGCCACCGCCGCCAUUUGGUGCGCGCGGCGCGUGCGCGGCGCCGCUGCCGCAGUGACACAUCCGGGUCCUUUCCCGCUGCUCCCCCGCCCCGUUAAAUCAAUUAAAUCAAAAUAAAGAUUUCAGUUAAUAAAACAACACCUUUCACACGCCCCCCCUUCCCGUGCGUCGGCCUAAAAACGUGAAUUUCGGGGUAAAAAUCCUUGAUCUUCGCCGUUUCUUUCACGCAAACCCGCUGCGAGGCGGGAAAGGGCCGCCAUGUUGGGGGGGGGAAGCCUGAGGGGGGAGCUCAGACCUCCCUUUUGUUGUGGAUUUCUGAGGGAAAAUCGCAAUUUUUUUAGCGGAUCUGUGUCUUUGUAGUUAAAUAUGUAAUAGAGAGUUAAAUUUUUUCGUUCGUUGUUUUGUUUAUGUCGCUUUUGGGGGCUGUGCGAGAGUAAAUACAGGGUGCUUUGAUCUCCUUUUUGUUGAGCGGAGCCUGAGGGGAAUCUGAACGUUCAGCUUCGUCUGACGUCUAAAUCGUUAGUUUUUUAACACUUAUAUCGCUUUUAUUUACGUUUAAAAAAAACUUAAACGCGGUGGGUUUCUUCUUUAUUUUCGGGGUGUGUUUUGUGUUAGAACCAUGUGCUUCCACCCCGCCUUUUUGUUGUGCGGUACCUGAGGGGAAUUUUAACGUUUUCCAUUCUUUAUUUUGCAUCUAAAUAAAAUGGAUUUAUGUUUAUCCUUUUUUUUUUAACGUAUAAAUGGUUGGAUUUGUGUGUGUUUUUAGGGGGAUAUUCCUUGUUCAAGAGGAGCGUUUGUUCCCUCCUUUUGUUAUGCAAAGCCUGAGGGGAAUUUAAACGUUCACUUUUACUUUUGCAUUUCAGUAAUAAAAUUUACUUUUACUCUUUUUUUUAUUUUAAAACUUUAUUUUUUUGUGCCUUUUUUUUUUUUUUGGGCGGGAAAAUUCCCUCUGAAAGAGCCAUUUGUGGCUUUUGAGUGGAUAAAACGCCCAAAUUCCUCGUUUUGUGCCUUGGCUUCGCAAUUUCUGCCUUAAAAUCCCUUUGUUUUCAUAAAUAGUUGUAGUUUUCUUUGAUAUUUUUCAGGUUACAGGUAGAUUAUACCACAUCAACAUACGUUAAUGUUUGAUUACAAUAGCGUAUUUCAUUGUAGGUAUUUUUUAGUUCUAGUUUUAAUUUUGGGGGGGAAUUCUAUUCUUUGCAAUGGUAAUGUUUAAUAUUUAUUUAUUUAUUUGUUUAUUUAUACAAAUAACGCAAAUAAUUUGUGUUAUUUUGUCCUUAGAUUACAACCAGGCUCUAUAACACAAAUGCACCUUUCAACAUUUAAUUUCAAAGCUGUUUUUUGCACCUAAAUUUGAACUUUAAUACAAUAUUUAUCAUUAUUUCUUUUGCUAAAUUACACCCAGACUCAAUAACACAAAGCCACCUAUUAAUAUUUAAUUCUAGGGCUAUUUUUACACUUGAACUGAGCUUUUAAUACAAUAUUUAUUAUUGGUUUUCUUCUAAGUUGCAGUUGGAACCUAUAACAAACACAGUUAUUAAUAGUUAACUCUGGGGGUAUUUUAUAUUUGUUAAUUCUGAUUUUUGACCCAGUUUCAUUUCUCACCGGAUUACAGCCAGGUUCUGCAGCACAAACACAGCUAUUAAUAAUUAACUUGGGUUGUAUUUUACACUUGGUAAUUCUGAUUUUUGACCCAGUUUCUCUCUUUUCUCCCCCCAGAUCACAGCCAGGUUCUAUAGCACAAAUGCACCUUUUAAUAAUUAACUCUUGUGGUAUUUUACAGUUACAACAUUCAAUUUUUAACCCAUUUCUCAGAUUCCAGCCAGGUUCUAUAGCACAAAUGUAUAACUCAAACACAAGUCUCAACACUUAAUUUUGGGGGUAUUUUACACUUUAUAAUUCUGAUUUUUAACCCAUUUUUCCCCAGAUUACAGCCAUGUUUUGUAACACAAAUCUAUAACACAAACACACAUACCAAUAUUUAACUGUGGGAGUAUUUUAUGCUUAUAAAAUCCAAUUUUUAAUCUGAUUUUUAACCCAGUUAUCCCCCAGAUUACAGCCAGGUUCUGUAACACACACACACAGUUCUUAGUGCUUAUAUUUGGGGAUAUUUUACCCUUAUAAAAUCCAGUUUUUAAUCCGAUUUUUAACCCAUUUCUCCCAUUUCUUCUCAGAUUACAGCCAGGUUUUGUAACACAAAUCUAUAGCACAAACACACAUACCAAUAUUUAACUGUGGGAGUAUUUUAUGCUUAUAAAAUCCAAUUUUUAAUCUGAUUUUUAACCCAGUUUCUCUCAUUUUUCCCCCAGAUUACAGCCAGGUUCUGUAACUCACACCCACACAGUUCUUAGUGCUUAUAUUUGGGGGUAUUUUACGCUCGUAAAAUCCAUUUUUAAUCUGAUUUUUAACCCAGUUUCUCCCAUUUCUCCCCCAGAUUACAGCCAGAUUCUGUAGCACACACACACAGCUCUUAGUGCUUAUAUUUGGGGGUAUUUUACACUUAUAAAAUCCAAUUUUUAAUCCGAUUUUUAACCCAGUUUCUCUCAUUUCUCCCCAGAUUACAACCAGGUUCUGUAGCACACACACACAGCUCUUAGUGCUUAUAUUUGGGGGUAUUUUACCCUUAGAAAAUCCAAUUUUUAAUCCGAUUUUUAACCCAGUUUCUCCCAUUUCUCCCCAGAUUACAGCCAGGUUCUGUAACACAAAUCUAUAACACAAACACACAUACCAAUAUUUAGCUGUGGGGUAUUUUACCCUUAUAAAAUCCAAUUUUUAAUCCGAUUUUUAACCCAUUUUCUCCCAUUUCUCCCCAGAUUACAGCCAGGUUCUGUAACUCACACACACAUAGCUCUUAGUGCUUAUAUUUGGGGGUAUUUUACACUUAUAAAAUCCAUUUUUAAUCCGAUUUUUAACCCAUUUCUCCGAUUUCUCCCCAGAUUACAGCCAGGUUCUGUAACACACACACCCAGUUCUUAGUGCUUAUAUUUGGGGAUAUUUUACCCUUAUAAAAUCCAAUUUUUAAUCUGAUUUUUAACCCAUUUUCUCCCAUUUCUCCCCAGAUUACAGCCAGGUUCUGUAACUCACACACACACCCAGUUCUUAGUGCUUAUAUUUGGGGGUAUUUUACCCUUAUAAAAUCCAAUUUUUAAUCCGAUUUUUAACCCAAUUUCUCUCAUUUCUCCCCCAGAUUACAGCCAGGUUCUGUAACACAAAUCUAUAACACAAACACACCUACCAAUAUUUAGCUGUGGGGGUAUUUUACCCUUAUAAAAUCCAAUUUUUAAUCUGAUUUUUAACCCAUUUUCUCCCAUUUCUCCCCAGAUUACAGCCAGGUUCUGUAACUCACACACACACACACACACACACACAGUUUUUAGUGCUUAUAUUUGGGGGUAUUUUACCCUUAUAAAAUCCAAUUUUUAAUCCGAUUUUUAACCCAGUUUCUCCCAUUUCU